CGGGGUGUAGCGCAGAGGCAGGCGCGCCGGUCUCCAAAACCGGAAGACGUCGGUUCGAAUCCGGCCGCCCCGCCCC
rnacentral:tRNA from 1 species